rnacentral:rRNA from 1 species
GACGAACGCUGGCGGCGUGCUUUAUACAUGCAAGUCGAACGAUGAAGUUCCUUCGGGAAUGGAUUAGUGGCGAACGGGUGAGGAACACGUGAGAAACCUGCCUUUCAUUCUGGGAUAACACCGGGAAACCGGUGCUAAUACCGGAUACUCCAUCUUGGCGGCAUCGCCGAGCUGGGAAAAAAUUUUGAUGAAAGAUGGUCUCGCGGCCUAUCAGCUAGUUGGUGAGGUAAAGGCUCACCAAGGUGACGACGGGUAGCCGGCCUGAGAGGGUGUCCGGCCACACUGGGACUGAGAUACGGCCCAGACUCCUACGGGAGGCAGCAGUGGGGAAUAUUGCACAAUGGGCGCAAGCCUGAUGCAGCGACGCCGCGUGGGGGAUGACGGCCUUCGGGUUGUAAACCUCUUUCACCAGGGACGAAGCGCAAGUGACGGUACCUGGAGAAGAAGCACCGGCCAACUACGUGCCAGCAGCCGCGGUAAUACGUAGGGUGCGAGCGUUGUCCGGAAUUACUGGGCGUAAAGAGCUCGUAGGUGGUUUGUCGCGUUGUUCGUGAAAUCUCACAGCUCAACUAUGGGCGUGCGGGCGAUACGGGCAGACUGGAGUACUGCAGGGGAGACUGGAAUUCCUGGUGUAGCGGUGGAAUGCGCAGAUAUCAGGAGGAACACCGGUGGCGAAGGCGGGUCUCUGGGCAGUAACUGACGCUGAGGAGCGAAAGCGUGGGGAGCGAACAGGAUUAGAUACCCUGGUAGUCCACGCCGUAAACGGUGGGUACUAGGUGUGGGUUUCCUUCCUUGGGAUCCGUGCCGUAGCUAACGCAUUAAGUACCCCGCCUGGGGAGUACGGCCGCAAGGCUAAAACUCAAAGAAAUUGACGGGGGCCCGCACAAGCGGCGGAGCAUGUGGAUUAAUUCGAUGCAACGCGAAGAACCUUACCUGGGUUUGACAUGCACAGGACGUGCCUAGAGAUAGGU